rnacentral:rRNA from 1 species
CCUGGAAACAGAUGCUAAUACCGGAUAACAACACUAGACGCAUGUCUAGAGUUUAAAAGAUGGUUCUGCUAUCACUCUUGGAUGGACCUGCGGUGCAUUAGCUAGUUGGUAAGGCAACGGCUUACCAAGGCAAUGAUGCAUAGCCGAGUUGAGAGACUGAUCGGCCACAUUGGGACUGAGACACGGCCCAAACUCCUACGGGAGGCAGCAGAG